GUGGUGUAGACUGGUAGCUGCAGCUCUGAUUCGACCCCUGGCCUGGGAACCUCCAUAUGCUGUGGGUUAGGCCCUAAAAAGACAAAAAAAUAACACUUUUGAACAACUUCCUCCGAUAACAGGUGUAAACCAUCUUUUUUUAGAUGCCAGGAUAAACUUUGUCUACAAACUAUAAUGAAAACAAAAAGAAACAAAGUGCUGUGUUUCUACUUUAUUAGGUUGUCACAGUAAAUCAGAAUUAAAGAGAGAAAGAGGGCAAAUUGGAGAGCCAGGCAGUGGCCAUCAGCAGCCAUGGGUGUCCCUGGGCAUGAGCCCCUUCCAUCGGCGCACCGGGGUGCACACGACCUGCAAAGUGGGUUACAGACCAGGUCUCUACUGCCUAGGCACAAGCCCUGAUGCGGAGCAUCAGGAAAAUUAAAUAACAAGAGCAAAAUAAAAAUCAAAUGACACGCUAUAACUUAAUUUACCGUAUUUAUCAAAUUUUGUCCUUAUUUACAUGUACUAAAUAUUGUUGACCUGAAAACAUUCACUUAAUGUGUCUGUCAUACAUAGGUACUGAGUGCAACUAACAUGUGGUUGGCUUUGCCUUCGAAUGUGGACAUUCCCUCCAGCAGCUAUAAGGUUACAAUUCUGUGUAAGACAUCACAGUAAGCGUGACAGCUUCCCUCAAACUCCAGAGGACACAAAUGUGACAGUAAACAAGGCGCGGGUGUUCACACCUGAGGAAGGUUGGGAAGACGUGAUGUGCCUUGUCUACGGAUCCGCAGACUCUUGGGGGUAAGGCUCGGGGUCUGAUUGGUCAGCCGCUCCCCAAAGUCAAGGCUGAAGCCCACUCCUUCGCUGUGGCUCUUGGGAACUGCAGCCUUGACCUCAGAAGACACUGUGACGGUCACCUACCCAAGCUAAAUGUCCUCCCUGCUGUCUGCGUGAGGUGGUGCUAUUUAAAAUGUCGUCAUUUGUGGAAUUACUAAUAUUUUUUUUAAGUACCCUAUGCAGGAAGACUGCAGAGCAGCAUUUUGCUGCAGAUGGAAAUCAGCGUGCCGAGACGUGAGGGGGCUGUCCUCGUCCUGCCUGGAGGCUGGCAGGUCUUAACCAUUUUGGGCUAAUUAGGGCCACUUCAGUUUACAGAUGGCUGACCUACUAAUGUGACAACUCAGCACUGUGGCUCAGGUGGGUCCCCACCGGAAAAGUGACCCUUGGCAAUUUUGCUGAAAGGCAUUUAUUACAAAAGCACAAUAUUUGCUUUUCUAAGUUAAAAAAAAAAAAACCAAACACUUGAUCAUUUCAAUUUUCCACCCCAAAUAGCAAAAAUGAUUCAAGUCCACAUGAUUGCAAACAAACCUGGCUCAGAUCCCCUGUUCCCUGAUUCCAAACCUCCAAACCAAAACUGUUACUGAGAAGAGCCGUAAAACUGCUGGUGUCACCUGGGGUCGUGGGGUUGUCAAGCCGUUGAGAAAGGGCUGCUUACCUGCUACCUACAACUGCACUUCCUACUCCAGGUCAGGAGGACCGGUUCCUGGAGAGAAAAGGGACUCUUGGAGCACAGGUCCAGGGGAAGUCAACGUGAUUACAAGACUCUUGACUAAAUCCAAGAAUUCCGCAACAGGGGUUGAGGCCGAAAUGUUCUCCUGGAAGCUGCGAUCAGAGCUCACGUGGGACUCGGGAGCCCAGGGACGAGCGAUGCCCCUUCCUGCAGGAGCGAGGGCUGGCAACUUUGUAAUAUCAAGUGGGACAGCAGUAAGAGUGUGAGUCUGCGCCAUGGGGGCUGAACCACGCCGACCAGAAAGCCCAAAUAGCUCCAAGCUGGGGAAGGGAUGCCAGGGGAAGGCACAACAGGCCUUUCUUGGAGCAAAAUGGGUAAAAAGUGGGGGGAGCAAACCCCUUGCUGGGGAUGUCACCCUAAAGCUCUGUGUGAGGGGUAGGGCAGUGAGGCACCGCCACCGGGAGGCUUCCUGACCGACCGGAACUUUCGAAAGACAGGACCCUGUGUUUCUAGAAUCACCUGCGCACUGUGGAUGGAAGCUUUCCUCUCACCCCCUGGAGGCCUCCAGCAGGGUUAGGGUCAAGGUCAGGAAACCUCUCCCCAGGUAGCGGGCAUCAGGGAACCAGGUGGGAAACAUUCAGCAAAGGAGGUGAACCUUCUCCUGGGCUACCGACCCGACGGAAAGCCAAUCUCUGGGAUGAUGAAGUUUGUAAAACCAUCAGUCCUAACAGAAGAUCGAGUGGGAUCAAUGCGGGGAACGCUCCUCCAACAGGCUGACAGGCAUUCUGCAGCCCCCAGUGAAACACGACGGGUUUACAGGUGAGAGGAAGCCCCGGGUCCAGAGCCAGGUGCUCACCCUGCCCCCACCCCAGGAAAGCCCGGAACCGGCUCGUGUUCCCUCUGCGCCUGCAGCCCCAAAGGCACUGCGUGACAGCCGGCUUGUCUCUGGCGGGUGGCGACUUUUUCUUCUUUCAAAGCCCAGGCUCCUGAGAUAUCACCGCCACCGGUUUGAAAGUCUGCUCCGCCGCAUUUUGGGGCUUCCUCUGUAGCUUUGGACUCGCUGAGGCACCAGCUGGGCCACCGUGACCGGAGUCUGGGUUUGGGGGCUUGGGUGGGGAAGCGGGGGUCUCAUCCAUCUUCUCCUCCCCAAGAGGUGCCGUGGGGAAGGCGCUCAGGGCCCUGGAAGGAAGCAGAGGGAGGCCUCGUGGGCACACGUUCCAGGGAGGGUGCGGCUCCCAGGAGCAACGGGGUGGCGCGCGUGCAGGGAUGUCUCCUGAAUGAGCCCUCGGACCAAGGUCUUUCCUCCCAGGCCUCGCUCUGCAGCGUGACAGGGGCUCUGCAUCUUCAGUGAGGCUCACUGUCCAAGGGACAAGUGACGAAGGAGGAGGAGAGGCGCUGGUGAUGGAGGUGGGGGCCCAGCACAGCAUCCCUGCCCAGACUCCGAGACAAACUCCAGGGGCAGCGCUCCGAUCUGCCCUGUUACUAUCUACGCAGAUUCCCACAUUGAUACUUUACGCCGUGAGUUGCAACUGGAUUAUUCCCCAAGGGGUCUGAGAUGGGAGCGCAGGACCGACUGAGCGAGUCCAGAGGAGGUGCUGCUAUCUAGCUCCCGAGGGAGAAAGGAAGCUGCCUUUUGUCAUCCCCUCCACCCUCUACCCUCUACCCGCCACCCCGGGCUGCUCAGGGGAACAGCGCCCGCUGCUGCAACACCCAGCCGCUGUUGCCGUGGCGGGUCCCCAGGCGGUGCUUCGAGGGAGGACCGUUUCAUCACCUUCCCCUGAACCUAUUUUUAAACUCUGCUGGCUUCACCCCGAGCUUCCUCAAAAGCAGGCUUUCUAACCAUUUCCCGACAUGCUUCACUUCCGGGGCUCUGGCCUUUGACAUUUCUAUUAGGGGCCUCCGAAAUUAAUUUACGCAAGUGAUCUUAUUCACAGGCAGCAUCUCCUCUCACUUUCAGACCUUACCUUACUGUUUCCAGGGAGAGCCUCUGAAAUCAAUACCUGCAAACACGCUUGGACCCAAGCAGACUGUCUGCCCCUGUGCUAUUUGGAAAUUCAGAGCCGCCAGCCCGGCCCCAGGAAGGUCGGACAGAGAUAGAACUCCGAGCCCCUCUCCAGCUGUUUUGGUCUUUGAAAACAGCCUACUCUUGACAAAGGCAGCACAGCUACACAUUAUCCUCAGCAGAGAUGGGCUGCUAACAGGUAUUGCCCCAACCCCUUGGAGCUGGAGGCAGGUGUCCGCAUGUAGUCCAGGGGAGCAGGCAGCCCUGAUUCAACCCCAGGUCAUAUUUCAUUUUGAAAUACCUUCACUUCAAGUUGGAUGUGACUUCAGGUUAUUAACUAGGAGCCACUGUAGCCACUUUGUAAUUGGAUCAAUUGGGAGAGGGGAGCAAAAAAAAAAAAAAAAAAAAAGUAAAUGAAAGAAAAAGUGAUGGUCAAAGGACCGAUAUUAAGUAAUUCUGGAUCAGAACAGAAAUAUUUAGAUGCUUCCCACCAGGGAGGCACAUUGGGGGGCCCUCUCGGUCCUCUGCUGAA